CAGCAUUUAGUUUAUUAAAAAUUUAAAUUUUGGGAAUUUAAGAUAUGUUUAUUCAUUUUGCUGA
rnacentral:tRNA from 1 species